GAAUUUGCAAAGAGCAUUUAUCAAACAAAUCCAAAACGACCGCGUCAAAGGCACCUGAAGUUCUGCAGACUGUGAGUCAUUCCCAAAAGUUUCCACAAGAUGACACUCUUUCUUCAAAAUUAGACUCAUUAACUUGUGCGGCGCUUUUGAAGAAAAAUUUACCUACAUCCGAAGCCUUACACAGUCUACGAAUGAAGAUCCAGCAACAGAAACUGAGGAGAGAGAUUCAAACUCCAGCACCUGGGAAGAAAGGCUGGCAACAUCUUACCAGAAAAAUGUGCAGGGUGACAAACAAAUAAGCAAAAGCAUCACCGGGUACAGGUGAAGUAAUCAGAUUGGCUGUAAGGAAAAACGCUGUAAGCUGUUUUUCACCCAAUUCCCACCAAAGAUCUGAUCUCCGAGCAGAGCAUUCUACGUACAUAUCCGCCUGGAGGAAUGCCCAAGGCCUUGUGAAACUAAUUUUGAACUCACCUUGCACUGCUGUUUCACAGGCUGAAAGAGUCAGCAUUAAGGAUCAGAGCAAGUGGUCAAACAAGAAGGCUCCUCAACAAUGUGUUGUUUUGAAUGCUCAGACAAAUGGAGACCUAAGUUCAAACCAAAUAAAAAAGAAUGAGAAUUCAUCUAAGGAGCAUCCCAGCCCCUUGAGAUCUCAAGCUCAAGUCUUAUAUUCUCCAGCAUCUGGAAAGACAUCCCUAAGCCGUGCAGCUUCUUCAUACCCGGUCAAAGCAGUUCCGUUGCCACACAGAAAUCAUUACUCACAAAAUUCCACCUGUAAAGUGUUUGCUAAAAGCUAUGACAUUACAAAGACAACAAAACCACUAGUAGCAGGUGAAGAAAAUGAAGGUCAAACUAAAUCAAACAGGCAACCUAGAAAUAACCAAGAUGUGCGUGAAUAUAUGCAUCACCAGGCCGUUGAGAGAAGGAGAAAGGUGCUACAAAUGAGGAAAGAAGCACAGCGAGAGGACGAGAGGAAGCAAAGGAAUAUGCAUGAAGUAGUUAAGAAACAAAGGCAAGUGCUCUACAGGGCCAAGAGAGAACAGCAACAGGAGUACCAGAACAGAGGCAGUUCCGAGGAGAAG
ensembl:lncRNA